rnacentral:rRNA from 1 species
UGUUGAGAAAUGUUGGGUUAAGUCCCGCAACGAGCGCAACCCUUAUCCUAUGUUGCCAGCGGUCCGGCCGGGAACUCAAAGGAGACUGCCAGUGAUAAACUGGAGGAAGGUGGGUAUGACGUCAAGUCAUCAUGGCCCUUACGACCAGGGCUACACACGUGCUACUAUGGCAUAUACAAAGAGAAGCGACCUCGCGAGAGCAAGCGGACCUCAUAAAGUAUGUCGUAGUCCGGAUUGG